UUUUAUUUAAGCGCCUGGACACAUAGUAUUUGUGUUGACGAGGAAGAAACUUAUCGAAAGAUUCGGCGGAUGGUUUCUUGGCAAUGGUUACUGCCACAAAUAUUAGAAAAGCCUGAUAGUGAUAUCAGUAUACAAAUCUAAUAG
rnacentral:ncRNA from 1 species